rnacentral:rRNA from 1 species
UACUCAUAACCGCAACAGGUCUCCAAGAAGCAAAAUCUUUAGUUAAAUAGAAUAACGCAGGUAAGGGAAGUCGGCAACAUAGCUCUGUACGUUCGCAAGAAGGAGUAGCUCUGAUGGUUCCUGAAUAAGGUUAAAACCGAAUCAGAACUUUAAAGGUUAGGGGAAUCCGACUGUUUAAUAAAAACAUAGCAUUCUGACAAAUCUAAAAGGUUCUUUACAGAAUGUGAUUUCUGCCCAGUGCUCUGAAUGUCAAGGUAAUGAAAUUUACUUAAGCGCGGGUUAACGGCGGGAGUAACUAUGACUCUCUUAAGGUAGCCAAAUGCCUCGUCAUCUAAUUAGUGACGCGCAUGAAUGGAUCACCGUGAUUCCCACUGUCCCUAUCUGCAAUCUAGUGAAACCACAGUCAAGGGAACGGGCUUGAUUGGAACGGCGGGGAAAGAAGACCCUGUUGAGCUUGACUCUAAUUUAUCUCGUGAAAUCGAUUUUUUGGUGUAGGCUAGGUGGGAGAUUCGUCGUACGUGAAAUACCACCACUAGAAAUACUAUUUCACUCAUUUCGUUAUAUGUUGAGGCCCGUAAGGGUUGAUUUAGAAGCAUUAAGUCUUUUGACGAGACAGGCGAUUGAAACCGAC